CGCGUAGAAAGUACCGCCUCCCGUACGAACACCGAAAUUAAGCAACUUGAAGCCUGGUCAGUACCUGGAUGAGUAACCGCUUAGGAAUACCAGGUAUUGUGA